CACUCGUCAAGCCAGUCCAGAUCGAAAUGUUUCUCUGCUGCCUGAACAAGAAGGUCCGGCAAUGCCUUCUCUGCAUCUCUCCACAGCCCAGACAUCUCUUCAUCGCAUACUACACGACGCAGAGAAUGUAAUGUUGUAGCAGAUUUUGGUAGGUUCCUGAUCUGUGAACACUCCCUCAUGUCAAUCUUUUCCAAAUUUGCUAACUUACCAAUGCCUAUGGGAAGGCACCUCAAAUUAACACAUUGGGAAAUGUCUAGGUAUUUCAAACAAAGUAGCUCACAAAUGCCAGCAGGAAGCGUCUGCAGUGCCGGACAUGCAUAUAACCUUAGGAUUUGCAGAGAUUUCAGCUUAUCCAGAUCAGUUGGCAGCUGGUAUAGGCUGUGGCAGUUGGU
rnacentral:lncRNA from 1 species